AUGGUGGGCGCUGGUCGGGAGCGCGCGAAGGCCCCUUCUUCGUCGACGCGUGGUCUGAGGUCUUCCAUUCCAGACGCACCUCUCCGCCGAGCGUUGCUGGACAGUAUGGCCACACCGCCGGGCCCUUCUUCGUCGACCGCGGUGCCCAGCAGGGGACGAGGUAGGAAGAGAGGAGGUGGGGCACGUGGUCGUGGGAGAGGAGGUAGGGUGACUGCUAGGGCGCCUUCCUCGCCGCCACCCGCAGCUGUUUCACCCGAGCACGUGACUGCUAGGGUGGACUCGUCCGAGGAGGAGGCUACACGGACUCCGGUCCACGAGCCUCCGGUCCACGGGUCUUGGGCCCACGAGCCUCGGGUCGACUGGCCUUCGGCCCACGAGAGUUCGGCCCACGAGACCCCGGAGGAGCACACGUCCGGAUGGGGUACCUGGCCGGAUCAGCCCGAGGAGCCGAGUGGCCAUGCUGAUGAUGGCGGGGAGCCGACUGGUCUUGAGGAGGAGGGGGGCACCGUCUACCAGCGUGGUGCUACACGGCUCCCGUCCGUGCCGGCGACCCGCGAUCAGAGGUGGUUGAUUUUCCCUGAUGGGGAGAGGUACGUAAGUGCAUUUAAUAUUUUUGUACCUUGUGCAUUCACGUUUCUUCAAAUAACUAAUGCGUUGGCCUUGUCAUGCUGCAGGGGUUGGGACCACCAUCAUAGUGUCCGCCGGCCCAACUCCGUCCUUGGAGUUCUUUGCCGGCAAAACUUCCUGGGGUUUGUCACGUUGCCUGGUGAGGGUCGGCUUCCAGAGCUUGGAUUGAGCUGGGAGCACUACGUGGCUGCCCCGGCCCCGUCGGAUGAGAUUAUCGACGGUGUCGUGUGCGACACGAGGGCAGACAUGGUGAUCAGAAAGUUCUGGGUAAUUUCUCCUUUACACAUUUAA
rnacentral:rRNA from 1 species